ACKGCUCAGUAACACGUGGCUAAUCUGCCCUUGAGACGAGAACAACCCCGGGAAACUGGGGCUAACUCUCGAUAGGUGAAGAACUCUGGAAUGAGUCUUCGCCCAAAAAGCUUCACGUUAUGCGCGUGAGGUUGCUCAAGGAUGAGGCCGCGACCGAUCAGGUUGUUGGUGAGGUAAUGGCUCACCAAGCCUUUUACCGGUGCGGGCCGUGAGAGCGGGAGCCCGGAGAUGGGCACUGAGACAAGGGCCCAGGCCCUACGGGGCGCAGCAGUCGCGAAAACUUUGCAAUACACGAAAGUGUGACAGGGCUAUCCCGAGUGCCAUCCGCUGAGGAAGGCUUUUACCCAGUCUAGAACGCUGGGGGAAUAAGGAGAGGGCAAGUCUGGUGUCAGCCGCCGCGGUAAUACCAGCUCUUCGAGUGGUGUGGAUGUUUAUUGGGCCUAAAGCAUCCGUAGCUGGCUAAGUUAGUCCCUUGUUAAAUCCACCGAAUUAAUCGUUGGAUCGCGGGGGAUACUGCUUGGCUAGGGGACGAGAGAGGCAGACGGUAUUUUCGGGGUAGGGGUGAAAUCCUAUAAUCCCGGGAAGACCACCAGUGGCGAAGGCUGUCUGCUAGAACGCGCCCGACGGUGAGGGAUGAAAGCUGGGGGAGCGAACCGGAUUAGAUACCCGGGUAGUCCCAGCUGUAAACGCUGCAGGCUAGGUGUUUGGACGGCCACGUGCCGUUCUAGUGCCGCAGGGAAGCUGUUAAGCCUGCCGCCCGGGGAGUACGAUCGCAAGAUUGAAACUUAAAGGAAUUGGCGGGGGAGCAC
rnacentral:rRNA from 1 species